GUCCGUAGUGGGGGGAAUAGUCGCGUGGCGGCCUCCGUCGUAGCAGGGUAUACAACGAACCGUCAAACAGAAAGGAAUAGACGGAGAUAGCCGAUCUCUCGCGGGCGCAUGCGCGUUCUUCUCCAGAUACUACUACUACUAUUACUGCUACUACUAUUACGUUGUCUCACCCUUCCUGAAAAUGUUACCUGAGCAAAAAGGUCAGAAGCAGCUAAUGAAAGGAGCCGCGCCUGCGCACUUGUUCAAGCUCAACUUGUUCACACAACUACUAUUGAGAAUGUCACACGCAACUACCUUGAGUGAUCCUCAUUCUGUGUGUCUUUCAAGAUCAAUAGACUAAGUAUUCAUCUUACGAAGUAUCUGAUGGCCGAUAUGACACUUAUCUACCUAACAUUGUAAUAAUAUUUCAGAAGAUCUUUAAAUCUGUCGAUAAAAAAGCUUUCGAUGUCGAUCGAACUGACAAUCACUAUCGAGAUAAUUCGAUUCUAAAUUAUUCAUGAACUAAGAGAGUUAGUGGAAUUUUGCUAAGACAAUAUAUAUUAAUGAUUACUAAACGACUACGAAAAAUAUGGUCUAUGUUAAUUAAUAAAUCAUACGAAAAAAAACCGUCAGAGAUCGUCAGAUAGUAUCUAUAGCACAUUCUGUAAAUAUGAAAACGCUUAUAAGAUUCCUAUCACACAGAAAUAAACAGUGAGAGAGAAAAAGAUGUAGUAUCUCGAUCGAGAGUUUCGCAAUGUCGAUUGGCUAUCCUGACUUGUAAAAUAUUCAAGGUCGAACGAAUCGAAUUCACGUUCGAAUCUCGGCGAUAUAUUUCUCUAUUUCUGUCUUUCUUUUUCUAUCUC